rnacentral:rRNA from 1 species
UCGANCGCAAACGCGAAGAACCUUACCCAANGGCUUGACAUACACCCGGAAAACGUUCCAGAGAUGGGCGCCCCCUUGUGGUCGGUGUAACAGGUGGUGCAUGGCUGUCGUCAGGCUCGUGUCGUGAGAUGUUGGGUUAAGUCCCGCAANCGAGCGCAACCCUUGUUCUGUGUUGCCAAGCAUGCCCUUUCGGGGUGAUGGGGACUCACAGGAGACCGCCGGGGUCAAACUCGGAGGAAAGGUGGGGACGACGUCAAGUCAUCAUGCCCCUUAUGUCUUGGGCUGCACACGUGCUACAAUGGCCGGUACAAUGAGCUGCGAUANCCGUGAGGUGGAGCGAAUCUCAAAAAGCCGGUCUCAGUUCGGANUUGGGGUCUGCAACUCGACCCCAUGAAGUCGGAGUCGCUAGUAAUCGCAGAUCAGCAUUGCUGCGGUGAAUACGUUNCCCGGGCCUUG